GCGGCCCGUCAGGAAGUCCAGUACCCAGUUGCACAGGGCGGGGUCGAGACCCAGGGUCUCGAGCUUGAUGACGAGCUUGGAGGGUACUAUGGUGUUGAAUGCCGAGCUGUAGUCGAUGAACAGCAUUCUCACAUAGGUAUUCCUCUUGUCCAGAUGGGUUAAGGCAGUGUGCAGUGUGGUUGAGAUUGCAUCGUCUGUGGACCUAUUUGGGCGGUAAGCAAAUUAGAUGGGUCUAGGGUGUCAGGUAGGGUGGAGGUGAUAUGGUCCUUGACUAGUCUCUCAAAGCACUUCAUGAUGACGGAAGUGAGUGCUACGGGGCGGUAGUCGUUUAGCUCAGUUACCUUAGCUUUCUUGGGAACAGGAACAAUGGUG
ensembl:lncRNA